rnacentral:lncRNA from 1 species
AAAAAAGUGACAGGAGAAGAGAAAUAUGGUCACUUUGGUAUUCUUCCGACCGACCGUUAAUCACUAACUACAGUGGGACGUCCGUUUUUCUGUGUUGGAUGUACAAAAACGUAGCCACUUCAAAUGGAAAUGGGGAUGUUAAUUUCGAUGUCUUGUAUAAAGAUAUGGUGCCACGCCAUCUACACUUUAUGAAACCUUGCAGCAACGAUCUUAACCUCGGAUGCAUGGCAUCUAUAAGAAAACCUACCUAUUGCAUUUAUUGUAAAUUUGUUCUCGCAUCGAACAUGCAUGAUAUAUUUGCCACGGGACCUGAAACAACUAACAAUCGAACAAUCAAUACAACAUUACAAUACUAGUGAGGGCGUCCCUAAUCAAUUUUUAUGAAAUGUGUUUCACAAGAAAUUAUAUGUUUCAAGAAAAAAAUAUGAAAACGACUUGACUAAAACUUUAGAAAGUUAUGAAGUGUUUUUUUAUUAAGAAUUUAGCAACGAGAAAAAAAAAACCGGAACAAAUAGGUGUGAAAUAACUUAAACAAUUAACAUGAUUAAAAUAAAAUGAACUAAACAGGAUACAUUAUAUGUCUCAUGAUAGAUUUUUUUUUAUUUACCACAUUGUAAAAAAAAAGAAAGUGUGAGAAAUAGCGUUUCACGAGAAACAAUAUUUCUACGUAUAAGAUGCUGGCAUAUUCACAAGAGGAGGGGACUAGAACGUAACUCUUUGUUAGCGAAGAUGAAAUGCUGGCUGGUCACUUUUAAGUGUCAAUGUCAUGGUUUUAUGAAAUGAAAAUUAAAAAAAAAAACAUUUGUCGAAGUAGGUAGUGCGCAUAAAAUUACUGAACAAUUUUAAUUGAGUGUAAUAAACAGGAUAUAAUACUUUUUAUGAGGAUAUAUGUUACAUGAUAAGCAUUGUUACAAUAAGGAAGGGAAAUGUUAAAUUAUAUCGGGAC